GCCGCCGGCGGCGGGCAGGUGCAGGGGCCAUGUGCGCCCCGAGGCCGGGAGCGCUCCUCCGGCGGGGACGCGCAGGUGGCGCGGUGCCGGGGGAAGGACCGCUCCGUGCGCUCUUCACCUGUGGGCGUGACCGCCGUCCCCCUCCUCCUCCUCCUCCUCCUCCUCCUUCUCUUUACUUGAAGGGCCGGCGCUGCUCUAGCGGCAGAGCCUAAUAGCGGGGCUGGCGGCGCACGGAGAGGAGGAGAAGACCUGCCGCCGCCGACCCUCCUUGUAAAGUGUCCCGCCCGCCGCGGAUCCGGCUGCCCUUCGCGCCUUCACCCCGCCGAGCCUGCAGGACCGGCCGGGAGGGGAGAUCAGGCUGGACUCGCCUGGGGGGGACGGGGCGCCUCUCCGCCCGGCGGGCCGGGCCGUCUGUCUCCUCCGCCGUCCUCAGCCAUUGGCGGGCACCGCUGUCCCCCGCUCCUCCGCGGGCGCUGGGCUCGGAUCGCCCUCGCCCCGCGGAGCUGCCUGGCGGAGCCCUUCCCCGCGGGCGGGCGGCGGUGGCCGCCGGGGUGCCCUCGCCCCUCCGUGCCUGCUGCCCCCGCGGCCAUGCUGCCCUGGGCUGGCAGGCGGCGGCGGCCUGAGCGGGGGUCGCCCUAGAGCGGCGGGCGGGCGGGCGGGGGAGGCCUCCCCGCGCUAGCACCGCCUCGGCACGGGCCCCGGCCUGCGGAGGUCUGCCCCCGGGGGAGCGGGAGGAGGCAGGGGAAGGGACAACAAGCGAACCAACUUCUGCAAAUUAAAAAAAUAUAAAAAGAGGCUCGUUCGUGGGACAUCUUCAAGGCUAAGCACCACGCCAGGCAUCCGAGUCCCAAUAAAGCCCACCACGGUAGUGAAUCUCGCCACAGUGACAAGAGGGAAGCUGGCGGCAGCCACUGCGCCAAAGUCCUGCAUGCUUUAGAGUCGCCUUGGCUUUCUGGCUGGAAGAUGGUUCCUGCAACAGGACCGUGUUGCUGCUGACGAACGGCGGGGUCAUUGGAAGAUGCCUUCCUUGGGGAUUACACGUGGAGAAAGGCCAUCAGUCAAGGGGAGAGCUGACUGGUGAAACUGUCUGACUUUCUCCCCCACCGGGGAAGUGGCUUCAAUGGCUCCAUCUCCCAGGAGAAGCAGUAGGAAAGAUGCCAACGCCUUGCCAAGCAUGUCCUCAACUUUCUGGGCUAUCAUGAUCCUGGCUAGUCUCCUAAUCGCUUACUGCAAUUAUAACAGCUAUUUUGGAGCGGAUAACCCUCAAUGGCUGUAUAUGAGACAUUGCCCGGGGUGCUUCCAAGAUGCUUUUGAGCUGGGUCAACUGGCUGCAGGUACAUGUGAGAUUGUUACUUUGGACAGAGAUAGCAGUCAGCCCCGAAGGACUAUAGCCCGACAAACAGCUCGCUGUGCAUGUAAAAAAGGACAGAUUGCCGGUACAACAAGAGCAAGGCCAGCCUGUGUUGAUGCACGAAUUAUCAAAACAAAACAGUGGUGUGAAAUGCUUCCAUGUUUAGAAGGAGAAGGCUGUGAUUUGCUAAUCAAUAAAUCAGGCUGGACCUGUACACAACCAGGAGGACGGAUAAAGACAACCACGACUGAAGACCAGCUGGAAAUGUCCUGAGGCCAUGGUCUAGUGGUCUGAGCUUGGGGCUGGGAGCCAGAAACUCCUGAGCUCUAAUCCCGGCUCUGACAGUGACUCCCUCUGUGGCCUUGGCCUGUCUGAGGCCAUGUGGUUUGGAGAUCUGAUCACUAGUCCGAAAAGGAAAGGCUGUUUGCAAGAUUUCUGGGGUGUUUUUUCCUGGAAAAGGUCUCCUGACAAAUGCAGCAACACAGAAUCCUCGUAGGAGUGGUUUAGGCUCUGUGUGAGCUACUUAACUUAGUCAAGUUUCACUGCUGUGGAUCAUCAUCCGUUAUAUGUCAUCAACUCUACUGUCUGUUUCUCUGUAUCUCAUGAAUGACAGCAUAAUUCCUCUACAUUAUGAGCUAAAGUUUGUUCUACCAUACUAAGGAUCACUGGACUAAGGAAUAUAGAAAAAGAGAUAUGCUUGGGCAUUAGCAAUACAAAAAAGUUCAUGGUUAACGUUUCAUCUGCGUUAUACACCACUGCUGGACUUGCUGUUACCUACAUGUUUUAAUCCGACGAGUCUGCUACAAUGAAGAGUAUCAUCCCAAUCAGCCUUAGAGAAGACUGUUUUGCCUAUGGGAGGACACUGAGGUGCAAAAGAGAAACUCUUCUUGUGCCCUAAACUGUCUGAAUUGCUUUUAUUUUCUUAUACUUUCAGUAUAUACAAUAGACCAAAGAGCAAAAUCUAUUUUAAAGUGGACAAAAUCUUACUGUUAACAGAGUUAUGUCAUUAAAUUGUAGGAGGUCUCCACAAAGACAUGAUUCCAGCUUUCACAAAGCUGAGAUGAUGUUGUCCAGCAGAAGUCUUUACGGAAAGCUGCAGUAAAAACUAACUCAGAGACCUGCUCUUGAAAUGCCACGUUCGAGAGAACAUAAUGGAGCACUGAGAGAAAAUGACCUAUGUUUGAAAAACUUGGACAAAAAGAACACAAACUGUCUACACGGCACCUUUAUUCCUCUGUACUUAGAUUGACUUUCUCGUACUAAAAUCAUUUUCAGUUUUAACCAGUUAAACAUGCCUCUUCUACAGUUCCAUUUUUGAUAGUUAAAGUUGGAUAAUACAGUAUUUGCAAAGAGCAUGUUUGGUCAUCUGUGGCCUAUGUCUCAUCUGAUACACCAUUUAGCACCAGAAAGCAAAUUAAAGAGAAAACAAAAGUAACACUUGUUUGAAAGAGAUCAUUAAAUGUAUUUUGAAAAGCCUAAAGUUAUAUAUUUAACAGUUUUUAUAUGUUGUAUAUUUGUAGAAAAACCUAUUUAACAAUUAACGUGAUAACUCUGACAGUCAUGACAAGUGGUUCAGAGUUAAGUUGUGUUUUAUUACUUCAGUUGUCUCUGAAGUGACUGGUGUCGUUUGCUUUCUUCCAUUGGGACAUUCUGGAUGUAAAGCAUGACCAGAGAGGACUGUGUAGAAAAAGCAAAGAAUAAUGUUGUUUAUAUUACAUAAAUGCAUUCAACCAUUGCACUGUUGGAAGGCAUUUUUUAUUUUUAUUUUAUUUUUAUUUUUUGUCUUUAUGUACUGAUAAAAAUAGAGUGUAAAAUAUUUUACCCAUUGCUCUUCAUAGCAAGGUUUGGUUUUCUUUCUUUCUUUCUUUUUUUCUUUCUCUCUCUCUCUCUCUUUCUCUCCCCCUGCUUUUGUGUAAGGGUCAGUUUGAAGCUUGUUCCUUGAUCCCAUUUUCAGUGUUUUACCUCAUUGUUAGAAAGCCCACUUUUUUGAAAUUAUUGGUUAGUGAAAAAUUAGCAAAGACAGCAUAGACAAGGGGGAAAUUAUGAUAAAACAGAGAAACAAACAAAACCUUGUUCCCUUUUAGUGUACCCUUUGGUAUGUAAGUUUGGUACAUAUUGGUAUGAUGCAAUCAACAAGGGAGCUUAAUUUCUUCCUGGCAAAUGUAUUAUGGUUUCAAGUAUACUACCUAAUACUCCAAUUAACUUUUAGUGUUAUGCUAGUUCUAUUCUACUAAAGAAAAAUAUAUAGAGAUUGUUCGAGUGACCAUAGAUGAAAGGUACAAAAAUGAAAAGUUGAUUAAAGAAAUUUUUUUUAAGGCCUGCUCUAAUACUGAGGCUUAUUUAAUGCAGAGGUUGCGGGAAACAUGAACUAUAGAUCAUUUUGUCUUCAAGUAAAAUAAAUAUAUACAAAAUUCUUAUUUAAUCUUAGGAUUUUGACCAGUGUCAAAGUAGCAAUUAAAGCCCAGCCACUUGAAAAGUGUUAUGGACUGACUGCACUAUAAAUGACCAAUGUCAGGUUUAAAAUGUCAUGCAAUAAAUGAUGGUAAAUACAUUUACUGUACAUGUAGACCUCAAGAGCCAGAUCCCUCACUCUACCAACUCUCUGUUUUGAUUUAUUUUAAAGGGAGUGUAGUAGCCUUAUUUAGUAAACACAGAACAAUUAAAGAUGUUACAUCAUUUUUGUUGCUUUACAGUAUUCAGUUUUGUGUUGGUUCAGCUAAAUUAUGAAAAAUAAAGAAAAUCCUUUUA